GGUAGGGUGGCCGAGUGCCUAGGCGGUGGGUUGUAGCUCCAUGAACAAAGGUUUAACUCCUUUUCUUACC
rnacentral:tRNA from 1 species